rnacentral:rRNA from 1 species
UACGGAGGGUGCAAGCGUUAUCCGGAUUCACUGGGUUUAAAGGGUGCGUAGGCGGGCAGGGAAGUCAGUGGUGAAAUCCUAGAGCUUAACUCUAGAACUGCCAUUGAUACUAUCUGUCUUGAAUAUUGUGGAGGUAAGCGGAAUAUGUCAUGUAGCGGUGAAAUGCUUAGAUAUGACAUAGAACACCUAUUGCGAAGGCAGCUUACUACGCAUAUAUUGACGCUGAGGCACGAAAGCGUGGGGAUCAAACAGG